UGGGGCGGGACGGCGGGCGGCGGUGCCCUCCCGCCUGAGGGGCCGCGGUGGAGGGCAGUAAGGACCAGCGCCACCCGAGGGGACACUGAGGGAGGGCCACGGGGGGCGUUCGAAUCGGAACAAAAGGGGGAAGAAAAGCGAUCGUGUGAGGGCGGUGAGACCCCUCGGCCCGCAGGGAACGCGGCCCGGCCCCUGCCUUGGGCGCGGUGAGUUCCCCUCAGGAACGCUGGUGGGCCCGGCUCAGGAGCGGCCCCUGCGUGGGAAGGCGACACCUCGGAGGUUGGCUCUCCUGCCCCAUGAAGUGACAGGGUAAAAACCACCAAGUUUAUUUUGGUUUUCCACGUCUAAAGGUGGCAGGAUUCAAAGCACGGGCGGCUGGAAUGUGGGAGAACCACAGCCUGGUUCUUGGUGAGGCGCGAGGUGCCAGUAAGCGGUGUGCGGGUCUGCGGGAGAGCCCAGCAGCCCGCUUCGCCCCGGCCACGAACACCCAGGGGACAGACACCUUUGUGCCCAGAUUUCCAGAGAGAUUCAAAAUCCUUGGGGAGCUCCAGUCUUACACAUGGGUUAUCGUAAUCCUGGUGCAGCACAUCCAGAAAUCUCUCAGAAGCAGCAUCUGAGCAAGGUCAGCUUCAGCCAGGGUUGGAGUUGGAAAUGGUCAGCAUCGCUUCCCACUAGCACCACACAACACCAGCUCCACUGCUGCCCCACGGUUCUUGCAAGAUCGCCUUUGGGCUACUAUCCCUCCUUUUACUACAAGCAGCAUCGUCAAGGCGGCGUGCAGCACACAGCCCGCACCAGGGGUGGUACCCAGGAGUCUGUUCCUUCUGAGCCCGGGCCAAACCCAGUCAGUGCAGUCCCAGAUGACAGGCUUAUCUUCAGGAAUUUCCUUUAUAUAGGACACCAAGUGUUCACCGCCGAAAGGCAGCGAUCCCUAUGUGAAACAUGGCAGCCACUCAGUAACGCGGAGGUUGGGAGGCGAUGGUGAGGAACCACAGAAAGAGCCAACAAAACGUGCCUUGCCGAGCGGGAACUGCUUUCCAGACCGAGAGGCAGGGCUGGUUCAAGCAAGUGUCAGUCCGUGAUCCUUUCCACCGUCACCACAGCAGGAGGUCAGCUGUCCCCAAAACCCUUCUGAAGAAAGAG
rnacentral:lncRNA from 1 species